GCACAAGAAGCACACUUCGUUAUAUUUAAAAGAAUAGUGGUUCCGGAGAUGGCAAAACCCACUUCAAGGAAAAUAAGAAUCACAAUAAAGUCUUACAGGAGCUGAAGGACAAAACAGCCAGUAUAAAAAAGAACCUAGUGAGUCUGAAAGAGCUGAAUAAAGCAAUAUAAGAAUUUUACAAUGCAAUCACAAGUAUUAACAGGAGAAUAAACCAAGCUGAGGAAAAAAUACCAGAAUUUGAAGACUGGUUCUGUAAAAUAAGACAGUCAGACAAAAAUAAAGAGAAAAAUAAAAAGGGAAGAACAAAACCUCCAAGAAGUAUGGGAUUAUAUAAAGAGGCCAAAUCUGUGAAUCAUGGAUAUCCCUGAAAGCAACAGGGAGAAAACAAAAAACUUGAAAAACAUUUCAGGAUAUCAUCCAUGGAAGCAUCCCCAACCUUGUUACAGAGGCCAACAGUCUCAUUCAAAAGAAUACAGAGAACUCUGAGAGAUUCUGCACAAGAAGAUCAUCCCUGAGAGACAUAAUUGUCAGAUUUUCCAAGGUCAAAAUAAAAGAAAAAAUGUUAAGUGCAGCGAGAGAGAAAGGACAGGUCACCUGCAAAGGGAACCCCAUCAGGCUAACAGCGAUAUCUCUGCUGAAAUCCUACAAGCCAGAAGAGACUGGGGGCCUAUAUUCAACAUUCUUAAAGAAAAAAAUCUUCAGCCAAGAAUUUCAAAUCCAGCUAUACUAAGCUUCCUAAGUGAAGGAAAAUAAGAUCCUUUCCAGAUAAGCGAAUGUUGAGGGACUGCACUAUCACUCGACAUGCCUUAAAAGAGAUCUUGAAAGGAGCACUAAAUGAAGAAAGGAAAGCCCACUACCAGCUAGUAUGAAAACACACUUAAACACAGAGACCUGUGUCACUGACAAGCCGACAUUAUAACCAGAGUCCAAAUAAAUUAAAGUUGUGAUUUUAAAUAACUGCAAAUCAAUGAUUCCAAAAAUGUUAUCUGUGGCCCAGACCUGGACUCCUGAUGUGUCUGUACAGCUCCAUCUGGAAUCUAACAAGUGUAUCAACUCUUGCUCAUCUGAAACUGAAAUGGAAGACCACAGCCUGGACGACAGCACAUCUGUAACAGCGCGAUUUACUGACAGUUUAAGCCCACUGUUGAGACCUACUGCUAAGAAGAAGUAUGAUUGUUUUAAAAAUAUUGCUGCUCAUCGACAAUUCACCUGGUCACUCGGGAACUUGGAUGGAGAUGUUUAGGGAAAGUAAUGUUUUCAUGUCUGCUAAUACAGUAUCCACUCUCCAGCCCAGGGAUCCAGGAGCAGUUUGACUCUCAAGUCUUACUAUUAAAUGAGAAAUGCAUUUGAUAAAGGUAUAGCUGUCCUAGAUAGUGAUUUCUUUGAUGGACAAAGUGAAUUGAAAACCUUUUGGAAAGGAUUCACCAUUCUAGAUGCCAUUAAGGACAUUUGUAAUUCAUGGGGGGAGGUUGAAAUAUCAACAGUGACAGGCGUUUGGAAGAAGUUGAUUCCAAGCCUCAUGGAUGACUUUGAGGGUUCAGGAUGUCAGUGGAAGGAGUCCCUGCAGAUGUGGUAGAUAGCAAGACAACUAGAAGUAGAAUUAGAGCCUUAAGGUGGGAUGAAAUUGAUGUGAAAUCAUGAUAAAACUUGAACAAAGGGGGAGUUGCUUCUUAUGGAUGAGAAAAGAAAAUAUUUUCUUGAGAGAGAAACUACUCCAGGUUGAGAUGUCAUGAACAUUGUUGAAACGACAACAAAGGGUUAAAAUAUUCCAUAAACCUAGUUGGUAAAGCAGCAACAGGGUUUGAGAAGGUUUACUCCAAUUUUGAAGGAAGUUCUACUAUGGCUAAAAUGCUGUCAAACAGUAUCACAUGCUACAGGGAAAUGUUGUGUGGAAGGAACAGUGUAUCAAUGCAACACACUUCAUUGUCUUAUUUUAAGAAAUUGCCACAGGCACCCCAAUCUUCAGCAGCAGCCAUCAAUAUAGAUGCAAGAUCCUCAC
ensembl:lncRNA